UACGAAGGGGGCUAGCGUUGCUCGGAAUUACUGGGCGUAAAGCGCACGUAGGCGGCUUUUUUAAGUCAGGGGGUGAAAUCCUGGAGCUCAACUCCAGAACUGCCUUCGAUACUGGCAAUCUCGAGUCCGGAAGAGGUUGGUGGAACAGCUAGUGUAGAGGUGAAAUUCGUAGAUAUUAGCUAGAACACCAGUGGCGAAGGCGGCCAACUGGUCCGGUACUGACGCUGAGGUGCGAAAGCAUGGGGAGCGAACAGG
rnacentral:rRNA from 1 species